UUGGAUUGGUAGGUAAAGUUUCUUAUUGAGG
rnacentral:piRNA from 1 species